GCGCGACUUCGCACUCGCUGCCUAAGCGGGUCUGAAGUCCGUCAGACCGGGAGGGCCUCCGGCCCGGACCCUGGCGCCGCUAGGAGGAUCACCGUACGACCCGGUUGCGGGGACGUACGGGACACCAAACAGCAACUGGGCCUGUCACACCGACUAGUUCGCGAGAUCGGUGGGGCCGAGUAGAGGCGAUGUGAGCUGCGCCCGGAGAAGCCCUGUCUUAGCACCGAAGGACCCGGGUUCGAUUCCCGGCACCUCCACUC
rnacentral:tmRNA from 1 species